CGCGGGGAGGUGCUCCGGUUGCACGCGAGGCUCAUAACCUUGUCGUAGUAGGUUCAAUUCCUACCCCCGCAA
rfam:Candidatus Liptonbacteria bacterium GWC1_60_9 gwc1_scaffold_3079, whole genome shotgun sequence.